rnacentral:lncRNA from 1 species
UUUGAAAUAUGCUGUUUGAUUUCGUGGAUGAUUAAGUUGGUGCACUGGUUUCAUUACUUAUUUGGUAUAACUAAGGGAAAUAUAAAUAUAGGGAAGACUUCAUUGGUCAGGUUGGUGUUGUUAAGGAAGUGAAGUUUCAUGAAUCAUAUAGGAUGUGUAUAACAGAGUCAAUAUAGGUAGUCUUUGUGGUUGGUUUGACUUUAGCCUUUGUGGCUU